AGGACGAACGCUGGCGGCGUGCCUAACACAUGCAAGUCGAACGGACGAGGAGAGCUGCUCUCCGAGUUAGUGGCGAACGGGUGAGUAACGCGUGAGCAACCUGCCUUCAGAGGGGGACAACGGUUGGAAACGACCGCUAAUACCGCAUGAUGCAAUCGGGUCGCAUGAUCUGAUUGCCAAAGAUUUAUCGCUGAAAGAUGGGCUCGCGUCUGAUUAGAUAGUUGGUGGGGCAACGGCCUACCAAGUCGACGAUCAGUAGCCGGACUGAGAGGUUGAACGGCCACAUUGGGACUGAGAUACGGCCCAGACUCCUACGGGAGGCAGCAGUGGGGAAUAUUGGACAAUGGGGGAAACCCUGAUCCAGCGACGCCCGCGUGAGUGAAGAAGUAUUUCGGUAUGUAAAGCUCUAUCAGCAGGGAAGAUAAUGACAGUACCUGACUAAGAAGCCCCGGCUAACUACGUGCCAGCAGCUGC
rnacentral:rRNA from 1 species